rnacentral:rRNA from 1 species
CCUACGGGAGGCAGCAGUGAGGAAUAUUGGGCAAUGGACGAGAGUCUGAACCAGCCAAGUAGCGUGAAGGAUGACUGCCCUCUGGGUUGUAAACUUCUUUUAUAUGGGAAUAAAAUGUUCCACGUGUGGGAUUUUGUAUGUACCAUAUGAAUAAGGAUAGGCGAACUCCGUGCCAGCAGCCGCGGUAAGACGGAGGAUACGAGCGUUAUCCGGAUUUAUUGGGUUUAAAGGGCGCGUAGGUGGAUUGUUAAGUCAGUUGUGAAAGUUUGCGGCUCAACCGUAAAAUUGCAGUUGAAACUGGCAGUCUAGAGUACAGUAGAGGUGGGCGGAAUUCGUGGUGUAGCGGUGAAAUGCUUAGAUAUCACGAAGAACUCCGAUUGCGAAGGCAGCUCACUGGACUGCAACUGACACUGAGGCUCGAAAGUGUGGGUAUCAAACAGGAUUAGAUACCCCUGUAGUC